rnacentral:snRNA from 1 species
AGAUGUGAGGGUGAUCUGGCUGAGACAUCUGUCACCCCACUGAUCACCAGGGUUGAUUCAGCUGAUCUGGCUGGCUAGGUGGGUGUCCCCUUCCUCCCUCAACGAUCCAUGUGCAUCCCUCCCAAAGCUGCAUGCUCGAUCGAAGAGGAUAACCACCUCUGAUAGAGGAGGACCAUUCCUCAGUCAAGGGUAUACAAGUAGCUGCACUCCCCUGCUAGAACCUCCAAACAAGCCCUGAGAGAUUAAAAUUUAUUAGUUUUCUAUUAGUUUGCUCAGAUUUCAGAAUUUCAAUAGAAUGAGUUUUAGUGUGCAAAAGGUGGCUGUACUC